rnacentral:rRNA from 1 species
AUGGACUACGAGCCAGCUAGGAAUUGCAGCCUUUGCGGGAAGAAGGCGCCGCGGUGGAUCUCGUGGAGUAGGGCGAACCCUGGUAGGAGGUACUAUUCGUGUGUGGAUGAAAUGUGUUUGUGAAACAAAUAGCAUGGCUUCAUCGAUUGGCAUGACGGCCCGACGACGCCAUUUCUACGUGGAUUGCUUGGAGAUCUUCGGGAUAAAGUAUGGAGUGUUGGGGAACGUAGUAAUUUCAAAAAAAUUUCUACGCACACGCAAGAUCAUGGUGAUGCAUAG